rnacentral:rRNA from 1 species
GAUGAACGCUAGCGGCAGGCCUAAUACAUGCAAGCUGAACGGCAAGAUUUGUAGCAAUACGAGUCCUAGAGUAGCGUAAGGGUGCGUAACACGUAUGCAAUCUGCCCGCAACAGGAGGAUAGCUUAGCGAAAGUUGAGAUAAGACUCCAUAAGAUCACGAGAGGGCAUCUGAUUGUGAUUAAACUACAAGGGGUUGCGGAUGAGCAUGCGUCUGAUUAGUUAGUUGGCGGGGUAACGGCCCACCAAGACGAUGAUCAGUAGGGGAACUGAGAGGUUCGGU